GAAGAAAAAAAUAAAAAAGAAAGAGCUGAAGCCUGGAGCCCACUUUAUUUUGCCCGUAUUCUCCCAAAUUAUUCCCUCUUUAUGACUCUUUCUCCUCUUCUGCUCUGCAUUUUUUUCUCGUUCUCCAUUGUUGCUGCCUCUUUUUCCUUUUUAGCUAGGUUUUAAUUUGGACAUCUCGACUUCAAGCUCUAUAUUAUAUAGAAAUCUCAAUGGAUUCUCCUCUUCCUCUAUUUUGAUUUAGGCAUCUUUCUUUAUAGUCCAAAGUUCAACUUUUGAAGAUGGACUAUGCUACUGAAUCAAGGAAAACAAUUGAAUCUCAAAUAAAAAACUCAUCUCCCCAGUCCUUUAGCUUGCAAUCCUGCUGCUGCUAUUGCCUAAUGACCCUAAAACAGCUACGUUGCACGGUUUAGUCUUGUUCAUCAUGGGAUCAAUCAGAUCAUGGUGUUGCCCUGCAACAAACAGAACUUCAUAUCACGAUGAUGGGACACUGUCUAAAUCUGACCAAGGAAUUGAGAAAUAAUACUGGAAAACAAAUCAUACCAUCAAAUUCCUAUAAUUUCCUACCUAAUGUAGAACUUGAAAUUGAGAUGCCUAAAUUAAAACCUAACUAAAAGAGCUACCUCUUAAAGAGGAAGAAGAAACAUCAAUGGCGAACUAGAAAAACCCCAGGAGGAGGAGAAAGAGUUAAUAAAAUGGGUCAAUGUUAUAUUUUUAGCGGGUCGGGUCAAGUGGGUGGAUAACUAAAUG
rnacentral:lncRNA from 1 species